rnacentral:rRNA from 1 species
UGCUAAUGCCGUAUAACAAUGACAACCGCAUGGUUGUUAUUUAAAAGAUGGUUCUGCUAUCACUAAGAGAUGGUCCCGCGGUGCAUUAGCUAGUUGGUAAGGUAAUGGCUUACCAAGGCGAUGAUGCAUAGCCGAGUUGAGAGACUGAUCGGCCACAAUGGGACUGAGACACGGCCCAUACUCCUACGGGAGGCAGCAGUAGGGAAUCUUCCACAAUGGGCGAAAGCCUGAUGGAGCAACGCCGCGUGUGUGAUGAAGGGUUUCGGCUCGUAAAACACUGUUGUAAGAGAAGAAUGACAUUGAGAGUAACUGUUCAAUGUGUGACGGUAUCUUACCAGAAAGGAACGGCUAAAUACGUGCCAGCAGCCGCGGUAAUACGUAUGUUCCAAGCGUUAUCCGGAUUUAUUGGGCGUAAAGCGAGCGCAGACGGUUAUUUAAGUCUGAAGUGAAAGCCCUCAGCUCAACUGAGGAAUUGCUUUGGAAACUGGAUGACU